CCUACGGGAGGCAGCAGUGAGGAAUAUUGGUCAAUGGACGAGAGUCUGACCCAGCCAAGUAGCGUGAAGGAUGACUGCCCUAUGGGUUGUAAACUUCUUUUAUAAAGGAAUACAACGAGGCACGUGUGCCUUUUUGCAUGUACUUUAUGAAUAAGGAUCGGCUAACUCCGUGCCAGCAGCCGCGGUAAUACGGAGGAUCCGAGCGUUAUCCGGAUUUAUUGGGUUUAAAGGGAGCGUAGAUGGGUUGUUAAGUCAGUUGUGAAAGUUUGCGGCUCAACCGUAAAAUUGCAAUUGAUACUGGCAGUCUUGAGUACAGUUGAGGUAGGCGGAAUUCGUGGUGUAGCGGUGAAAUGCUUAGAUAUCACGAAGAACCCCGAUUGCGAAGGCAGCUUACUAAACUGUGACUGACAUUGAUGCUCGAAAGUGUGGGUAUCAAACAGGAUUAGAUACCCUUGUAGUC
rnacentral:rRNA from 1 species